GUCCCUGUAGGGCAAUGGCUUGCGCGUUGGACUUCCAAUUCAAAAGUCGUGGGUUGGAAUCCCACCCGGGAUA